rnacentral:rRNA from 1 species
CUUAGUGGCGGACGGGUGAGUAACGCGUGGGCAACCUGCCUUAGACAGGGGGAUAACACAGGGAAACCUGUGCUAAUACCGCAUAACGCAGAGAGAAGGCAUCUUUUUUCUGCCAAAGGAGCAAUCCGGUAUAAGAUGGGCCCGCGUACGAUUAGCUAGUUGGUGGGGUAAUGGCUCACCAAGGCGACGAUCGUUAGCCGAACUGAGAGGUUGAUCGGCCACAUUGGGACUGAGACACGGCCCAGACUCCUACGGGAGGCACCAGUGGGGAAUAUUGCGCAAUGGGGGAAACCCUGACGCAGCAACGCCGCGUGAAGGAUGAAGGUUUUCGGAUCGUAAACUUCUUUGAUGAGGGACGAAUAAUGACGGUACCUCAAAAGACAGCCACGGCUAACUACG